rnacentral:rRNA from 1 species
CGUGUAGGUGGUGGGGUAUGUCUGAUGUGAAAGCCCUCGGCUUAACUGAGGAACUGCAUCGGAAACUACCCGCUUGAGUGCGAGAGAGGGUGGCGGAAUUCCCAGAGUAGAGGUGAAAUUCGUAGAUACUGGGAGGAACACCGGAGGCGAAGGCGGCCACCUGGCUCGCUACUGACACUGAGACGCGAAAGCGUGGGGAUCAAACA